AUCCAGUCGCCCUUAAAUCUUCACCAUCUCCGGAGUCUGACUGGGACUUUCGGAAUUUCCUGGAAGGGGGUCUGCGCUUCAGUGAUCCCCGUGUCCGCACCUAAGAACAGGCAGGCAAAAGAGGGAGUCCCAUGGAUCACAGUGAGAGGGAAUUUCAAAACAGAUGCAGCGAUCUCCUCAUUUGGCUGCAAACACACCCUGUGAAGACUGAAUUGGAGGGUAAGACAACUGUUCCACUUCCACUCCAAGCAGUAAACUGGCUUUGGCUUCCUGUGUUGGAGAAGGCCUGGAAGACACUAUACCUUGUUAUAAAACUUCAGAUGCACGGGAUUUAAGGUAUGUCUACACUGGCAGAGUUACAGCGCUGGCAGUUACAGCACCACUCAGAGAGCGCUGAAGGGAAACUGCUGUUGUGUGUUCACACUGUCAGCUGCCUGCACAAUAGUGUAUUCACACUUUCAGCGGUAUUCAGAGCAGUGCACUCUGGGCAGCUAUCCCACAGAGCAGCUCUUCCUCUUCCACCACUAAGAGUUGUGGGAAG